rnacentral:lncRNA from 1 species
CUCAUUUUCAGUGCUGCUCAGUGCCCCUACUGCCAGCGCCCUCUGUUUCCCAGUUCCCCAAGAGUGCCGUUGAUCAUGCCUCUAAACCCCACCACCACCUUCCAGUGUCCCCAGUUCCCACAGUUCCUGCCAGCCCAAGAACUGCACUGAGUCCAGUCUCCUCUUUCUCCAAGGGCCUGGAAAAGUGCCAGGGACAACGGUGCUUGGAGAGCCCCGCUCUGAGGCAAGAUACUGGCGCAUGGGGAGCCCUGGGGGUUUGACUGGACAGGCAGAAAUGAGGCAGAGGCAGGUGGGGGGCACAGGCAGACCGACCGGUAGGAGGUGAGGCACUGCCCCUCACCCCCUGAUGCCUGGAUGGAGCUGCCCCAUGGAGCUGCCCCACGCAGGAAGCUGGCCUGGUGCCAGGGAAGGUGGCUGGCUGAGUGCCGGGACGGGGGUCAGUCUGUGCCAGGGCUGGGCUCGUUGCCAGGACUGGUGUCCCUGCCAAACCCAGCUUUGCCCCGGAGGCUCUUCGGGGAGACAGGAGGAGCCCUGGCAGGAAUAAAUCUUGCCCCUCACCUUCUCCUGCUUCACUCAAGACUCACCAGACCACAGAGGAAGAUGAAGGUCGCUGUGCUCAGUGUGGCCCUGCUCAUCGCCGUCCUGUGCCACCCGGCAGAUGCGCAGGUACGGGUGGCUCUUCAGCCCCCAGAAUCAUCUGUGGUGGCCUUGGACCAGGUGGUAAGUGCUCACGUGGCCCCUCAGGUCUCACUCUGGGCAAUAGGACCCCAAAGAGGUGACCUUCCAGAGCUCUCUGGCCAGACUGGGCUGGGAUACCUCCCCCAGCUGACAGCUGUCAACUCUCUUGCAAAAGAAACCCGCAGUGGUGAGCCUCAAACCUCCUUGCUUUGCUUCUCCCUUUGCCAAGCAAGGGGCUGGCAAAGUCUCUAACCCCCUCCCUUUGGGUACCCAAAUUCCCCACACUCUCCUUGUCCCCCAUCCCCAACACUGGUGUCCCUGCAUGGACAGACAUCCCAGAGAAGCCUUAGGAGCAGUGAGGCUAUGGGGAGCACCCGCACCAAGCCAAGGGGAGGGGUGGACAGCAAAAACCUGGGACUACCCAACCCCACAACCCAACCCCACCCCACCCCCACCGAGCUCCAUUCACGACCGCCUCAUGGCUUUUCUUCCCUAGGACGCGGCAGAUGUUGAUCUGACAGCAAAUGAAGAUGUUGCCGUGUCAGUGAGUAGCGGGGUGACCCUGGGGUUGGCCAGGCUGGGCAAGCGGAGCGUUGUGCUGUCCCUUCUCAUUCCUCAUGGCAUGUGGGGACAUCCCUGUGACCUACCAGGUCUCUCGUGGGCUCCCUCCUGCUGCAGGUGGACA